AGACAGAGAUAUGACAUUACACGUUUCACGUCCAACAAGUCGUAACUUUCAUAGGUUUCUUCGAAGCAAAUUAAAAAGUUAAACAACGCAGAUCGAAUGAGUCAACUGUUUGUAAAUAAUGUCAGCUGAAGUUGUUGUGUGACCUGGCCAACUGGGGCCAAUAAAUAAAGCAGCCAAUAAUGCAAGCCAUGUCUUCUGAAGCUAAAUAAUUUCUGUUGCAAGGUUAACUUUUCCCUGUCAAGUUGUAAAUCUUCAAGAUAUUGGUGCCUUCGCCAGAUCCAAUUCUUUACUGCAAUCUAUUUUAAGGACACCAGCAAGAAAAUGCUGCUACUCAAGAUUUAACGGUGACCACCACUUAGUUCUAAUUUAAGACAAUGUUAAUCCCUCACCGCCGUUAUAGUUGUUUGGAGACUGACGAGAGAUUGCUGGAACUGAAGAUUGAUAAUUUGUGUAGACUUAGAUAAAUUACAAGUGUAUAUCUGGGCUCCCUUCUUUUCUGUGGCCCCGUUUCCCUAACUAACCACUAACCAACGCCCGCCGGUGGUCACUCACCCGCUGUGAUAACCAGGAGGAUGAGGAGGGCUCUGGUCGAACGGGGACUUGGAAGGCGCAUGAUCCGAAGGGACUUUUGAGGGUCAUGAGUCUUAACUAAGAAGUCUACUAAGACUAAUCGCUCUCUAGUAAAACUGGCCUCGCACUCUUCUCUCUUCUUCACUGGCCAGGUAAUCUCCCUGGUCGCAGUCAAUUAAGUCGGUGUCUCCCCGUCUUCAUUGACUGCAAUUACAAGUCAGCAAAACAUAGCAAUUUACAAUUUGGUACACACGGUGAUCACCGUGUUUGACACUUGGAACUGUUCACUUCAACUCCUGCAUUAAAAAUUAUGCAAUUCAUGAGUUUCGGUGCCGGUGAUAUACUAUGUGGUGAUAGUAUGUUAUAUGGAUAUUAGUUUUUAGUAUUUUAAAAAAUAU
rnacentral:lncRNA from 1 species